GAUCAUCCAGCAGGUGGACUGCAUCUCUCUGGGGAGGGGUUUGGAUCUAAGCUGAUGCCUGAGGGGAAAUGGGAUUCAGGUGCGGGGAGAGGGCACCGCAGUGUUCCAGGUGGAGGGAGCAGUAGGGUGUGUGCGCGAAGAUCCUGAGGUGGUGAUCCAGGGGCGACCCUUAAUAGACCUUCUCCCUGAAAGUUGGCUUCCCCCAGAGCCCAACUGAGCACCUUGUGAGAACACUGUACAGAUAUGUGAACAUCACUUAAUAGAGACAGACCGAUUCCCAGGAAAGCAAGGAUUUGGUUAUAACCUGGCAGAAUUUCCCCUCAAGGAGGAGGAUCGUUCAGUCAUGAGUGGAGAGCACAGAGGUGCUCAGAAAUCUCCCCACCUCAAAAUCUUGUCCAUGGAAGAGGAAGCCUCAGCCACUCGAAGAAAGGCCUGAUUCACACUGCUGUCUCUACUGCGGAGCUAGAUUCGGUGAUAAGCCAUCUUGCAGGGAGGCCACGAAACCCGCGUCUAAGGACAGGUCGUAGAAUCAGGUCUGACCAAAGAGCUGGAGUGGUGGCGUCUAUGAUUGUCAGUUGCUGAUGGUGGGAAGCGUGCAAACAUGGUAGGUUCACAUAUAACUUCAGGAGGAGGAGGAAGAAUCUGCUCUGGAGUUUGCUGGUUCACCCUGUGUCCUUGGCCGGCACACUCUCUGUAGUCCCUCAGCCUGCCGUCCACCAGUAGGACACGGUGGCAAGGAUGUCCAUCAAACAUCCCGACCCUGGGAAGAAUGCAUCUGGCGUGGUGGCGAUAUUAGUGACACGGUUGCUGGACUUUGGAUUCACAGAGUGUUUUCGCUCAAGAGCUCGGAGGAGAGGUGGUCACAGGUUUGUUGUUAUUGUAUCUUGGGAGAGAAAGAGGAACACCAAGGCAUGGAGGUAUCUGCUAGAAAUGUCACGGCUGGAAUCAGUCAGGCCUUUCGUGUGGGUCCUCGUCGCCAGUUCAGGACCUGAAACACCGGGCUGUUUGCUUCAGGUGGAUAUUUGGAUGUCUCCCCCUCCGCCUCUGGCUACUUCUCCUCAUCCUGUCCUUUCCAGGCUCGGCCAGCCAGUGCCCUUGGAGGUCUUCUCUGGGCUUGUCAGCUCCCCACCAGGGCUAGACAGGGCUGCACUUUCUUCUUAUGAUAGAAGACUGCAAAGCAAGAUGGAGAGAUUUUCUUGGCAGCUGCAGAUUUUUAAUCAUGAAAGUAAUUUAAUAUGAGGUGGUCAGAGGUCAGAUAUUUUAAAAAGGCCAGUUUCUGGUUUAGCCUCAGCUAAAACCAAGGAUGACGAAUGGUUCAAAAGGGAGGCAAAAUGUAUUUCUAGAAGGUUUAGUGACUUAGCAGCAGCAGCAGGGGACCCAGAGUAGGAAGGGGUGAAAGACCAUGAUUUUCCACUGGAUUUCCUUUCUUAAAAAUUGAAGCGUAAUUUGCAAUAUUGUGUUAGUUUCAGGUGUACA